UACAGGGGGGGCAAGCGUUGUUCGGAAUUACUGGGCGUAAAGGGCUCGUAGGUGGCCACUUAAGUCAGACGUGAAAUCCUUCAGCUUAACUGGGGAACUGCGUCUGAUACUGAGUGGCUUGAGUGCAGGAGAGGAAUGCGGAAUUCCAGGUGUAGCGGUGAAAUGCGUAGAUAUCUGGAGGAACACCGGUGGCGAAGGCGGCAUUCUGGACUGUAACUGACACUGAGGAACGAAAGCCAGGGGAGCAAACGGG
rnacentral:rRNA from 1 species